UACGUAGGAUGCAAGCGUUGUCCGGAAUUAUUGGGCGUAAAGAGCGCGCAGGCGGUAUGACAAGUCAGAUGUGAAAGAGGCCGGCUUAACCGGCAAGGGUCAUUUGAAACUGUCAGACUAGAGUGCAGCAGGGGAUAGUGGAAUUCCCGGUGUAGUGGUGAAAUGCGUAGAUAUCGGGAGGAACACCAGUGGCGAAGGCGACUAUCUGGGCUGCAACUGACGCUGAGGCGCGAAAGCUAGGGUAGCAAACAGG
rnacentral:rRNA from 1 species